CAGCAGCCGCGGGAAUACGGAGGGUGCAAGCGUUAAUCGGAAUUACUGGGCGUAAAGCGCACGCAGGCGGUUUGUUAAGUCAGAUGUGAAAUCCCCGAGCUUAACUUGGGAACUGCAUUUGAAACUGGCAAGCUAGAGUCUUGUAGAGGGGGGUAGAAUUCCAGGUGUAGCGGUGAAAUGCGUAGAGAUCUGGAGGAAUACCGGUGGCGAAGGCAGCCUCCUGGGCCAAUACUGACGCUCAUGCACGAAAGCGUGGGGAGCAAACAGGAUUAGAUACCCCCGUAGUCCUGUCUCUUAUACA
rnacentral:rRNA from 1 species